UGCAUUUUUUAACCAUGCCCUCAUUACCUGCCCCCUGGCUUGCUUUCCUUGUUUGUUUUCUGUCUUUAGUCGUGGCAGGGGUGAAGGCAGGGAGCUGCUCCUCAGCAGAGCACUGAGCUAGGGAACUAGUUGACAUCCUCGUCACCACGGCUGUAGCAGCAUCCACAGAAUGCAGCCAUGGAAAACUCCUUUUUAAGGGCAAGAUGAUUAAUCUCCUUGUGCUGGUAAUUCAAAAGCUUCAGUCCCAGGGGCAAUAUCGAGUGUGGUUGGUCUUCUGACGAAAACUGUGCUACCACUUCCUCUGUGCUAAGCUGCAUUGUCUGGGCUCUUGCACUUUUCUCCUUCCUUUCAUGUUGACUUAUGAUUGGGUUUUUGUAGCAUGCAAGUAGCAUUAGAUAUCCAGGGGUGGUAAUUUUCCCUGCCAUCUCAUCCUUAAUAAUUUAGGAGGGCAGUGAUUACCACGAUAUCCUCCAGUCUCACUCCUUCAGGAUUUGAUCUAAAGGUGGUGAAAUGGUUUGGCUGAAAAGGUCUUACACUACCAGAAAAGUCUACCCAGCUGCCUCUCCCUGGACUGAGUGAGCAUGCCCCUCCUGAAGGACACCAAAACGCUCACCCAGCAUGGAAAAACACAUAUUCAGCUUUUAGCAGCGCAGAGGUGAAGCCCUUUCAUCUGCCAGCAAUGUCAGAUAUUGGUCCUCUGUUGUAAUUGCUGGCUCCUGAAGUGCAGAGAAAGAGCUGCUGGAGGUGAUCAGAGUUGGGGCAUGAGGGCUUUAAAUUGGGUGUUUGCAAGUGCCAGCUGGAGAUGGACAAGAAGACAUCAAAGAGCCAUGAGACUGGUCCAGACAGCAAGAGGACUUUCAAAGUACAGAUAAAUGCAGAGGAAGGAAAUACUCUUUCUUCCAGGAAGAAAAUAUCCCCAUGGAUGUGGAAAAGAGGGACAGUGAAGGAGAAGGGGGAAGGCUCUGGCAUGGAUGCAGCAGAGACCACGUGGGUUUCUAGCUUUGAUUUUGGUGUUUCCUGAAAAAUAGUAAUAGUUUCUCACAAUACUCUGGCAGGUGUGAAAUAUGUCCUCACCACAGAUAUGUUUUCACUGCUUGCGGUGUUCCCUCUGAAGUGGGCUAUAAAAAGCCUGCCUUUCUAAUUGAAUUUGUGUGUAGAUGGAGAAGGUGUAAUCUAAGAUAAUUAAUGCUAAUUAAUUAUUGCAUGGUCAAAUGAGCAGGAAAUGCAUAUAGAAGCUUGAAAAAAAUUAAUUAUAUGAAAAUAGGAUAAUUGCUUGUGUGUUCAGAUACAUAUUUAUCUGAGCAAGCAUAUACUCAGCAUUUUAAAAAGGGUUACUGUAGGACAAAAAAAAAAAAAAAGCUGUAAAGAGAACACAUUUCCUAAAAGACUCCCUACUGCGUAUUAAGAAAACCCCAAAGCUAGCAAAAAAUAGAUGAAGUUAAGAGGAGGCUAGUUUCAGUAUCACUUGCUUUUGAAAGAGAAAACAUUGACAUCACACAGCCUAUUGCACUCUCACCAAACAAAUACACAUGGCCUCCUAAUGUCGCCAUUGUUGAAAAAAAAAAACCAAACAGAAAAGGCUAGAUUUUGAUAAUUUGUCUUAUAGUGUGCAGCGCCUUGUUUUGUAAGGAACUGCAAUGAGGCUGGAGAAGGCUGAGGGGUGAGUGGCUGAGGCCCAUAGGAUGGGAGAGUGCAGAGGCAAACUGAUGGUUUUUACAUCUGCCACAACUUGGCCCAAAUACCCAUUGCAGCUGCUGCAGACAGAAGCUGGUCUCCUUACAAAUACAAAAAUACUUGCUUAGAGAGUCUCCAGAGCUAUCAGGAUCCAGGUUUUCUUCCCAUAUGUUUUUUUCCCUGUUAGCUCCCUGACUGUGGUGCAUGAUGAAAUGCUCCUCCUUACUGGCCAGGACUGGGCUCUGAGCUGGUGGAAGCAGGAGGAGAUGGUGGCUGCAGCCUGGGAAACUGGGGUUGCUUAAGAGGAAUUGUGGGGUUCACCUCCCUCUCUCCACUGGCUCUUGUGCUUAGGUAGUACAGCACUGCCUUGAUAAGCAGGUGCACCACCUCUGGGGUUACUGCUGGGAUGUGUGGGACAGUUUGUGAUGGAAAAUCUGUCCAGGGAGCAUGAGAUGGACUCCUGGGAGAGCGAUUUAAAAUAUAAACCUUUAUAUAGCCAAAAUUUCUCACUUUCUCCUUCCUCCUCAUCCAAGGAUUCUGAUUUUAGAUGGUAUGUUAAAAAAGCAAGCUUGCCAAAGAUUAGCAAAAAUUUUCUUGGUGGGAAAUCUAAUUUUAUCCUAAGAGUGUGUUUGAUUCAGAAAUUUAUCCUAACCCUUGUCUGAAGACUUGCAGUGCCCAGACAUGUGUUUAUCUGCUUAUACCUUUCCUCUGAGAAGAAAGUGGUAGGAAGAUGGCCAGAACUUGGACCUUUCUCCAUGGAAGAGCACCACAGUUUGCUGUUGGCACACCUUAGUACCAACUUUCUGUCAUCUUUGGAGAAAAAGAAAGAAAUGUGGAGGAGCUAUCCUUGGAAAUGGAUCAUCCGCUCAGCAUUUUCUAGGAUCUGCUCUUGUCUGGAGGGCUGGAGGAGGAGCUCAGUGCUGCACCUAAAGGCACAAUCAAAUCCUCCAAAAUAUCUAACAUCUAAAUUCUCAUCUCUAAAAGGCUGCAGCAACACUGGUUUGGGAUUCGUGGAAUAUUUUAUCCAGGCACAGGCAUUAGGUUGUCUUCCAGGAAGUGGGUGGAUGAAAAUGUGAGGGCGAGUGUGUGAUUUGUAUUAAAUUAGAAAUAAUCAGUUAAGCCAAUAGUGAUUCCAGGGAGCCCCAGCAGACCAUUUUCAGUAAUUGAUUUUUUGGGAGCCCCGCGGAUAGAGCUUUUCUUUUUUGUUAUAAUGGAUGUCCCCUGAUGAUUAACUAAGUAAUUCCUCUAGCAAUUACAUCCUCUCUGAAAUGACAGUUUUGUGGCUUAGAAGUUACUGGGAGUUGCUUUGAUCACUGAGCCUGUGCAGUUUAUGCCCCUGGGGCAGUCCCACCUCAUCCCUCCAACAUCCCCAUCCCUCUCAGCUUUGUCUAUCUUCACAGCUUGAGCCCCAUGCUCUGUCCUCUGUGCUGCCCACUUGCACAUGAGAACCUCAUUGCAACACCAUAAAUAUGACAUGGAGAUGGCAAACAGCUCCCACCCUGGCCCCGGCACAAGGGCUGUUCCUGGUCUUUUGCUGGGAGAGACCUGUGGGGCAGGAAGGGAAGUGUUGGCAGAUGCAGGGAUGGCUGCAGAGUGCAUGAAUUGGGGCACAGGCAUCUCCUUUCUCACCUGGAACCUCAGCAUUUGGUGAUACUGGGGACACAGUGGUGCUGGGCAGUAGCUCAGGCAGGAGGGACUUGUCCUCUCUCAGCAGCCGUGGGGUCGUGAGCGUUUGCAGUUGGAGGUGUGACUGCUCACAGAGGAAGGGUCUCCAUCUGCUGCGGGGCCAAAUGUGACACGGAUCGUCUGGAUGUCAGUGCUGUACACUGAGAUGCAUUUUGGGCCUGCCUAGGACAUAAGACAUAUUUCUGGUAUUCUAGUCUAUUGUAUUUAAAAGUGCCUCCUUAGCUCUAAUAGUAAGUGUGAUUAACCACUUUCACCUUUGAGUGGGAGCUGCACAGGCACAUCUUUUCCCAGAAGAAAGUUGUAAACUUGAGGGCGUGUGAUGGAGACAAGUCCCUAUGGCCUCUGGCCAACAGCGAAUGAUUACAAACCAGCAGGGCACUCACUUCCUUCAGCUUCACAUAAACCGGAUAAUUAUCCUUUGGCUUCAGUAUCAUCCGUGCAGUGUUGGCUUGUCAAGUUGGCAGGAGCCUGUUCAGCCUAAGCAACAGGAGGUUUCCUCUGUGAAUACUUAAAACUUUAAUAAUUAUUUAUUGAAUAAGUAGGAUGAGAGCCAGGACAUAGCAGAAAUGUGAGGAGUUUCCCAGGUGACUUUCCAAAGUCUUUGAGAUACUAGCAGGUCCAGCUCUAAAGUUAUUAAAAGGGAAGAAAAUCCUCUCUAAAGAGCUUUUGGCUAUUCUUGCUUUCUUUCCCUCCCUCAUAUAUCUGGCCAAAUCUCUUCAAUCUGCCUUUAUUUAGUGAAGUUAAGGAAACAAUUUUUUUUUUAAUAAACUAAGCCUUUCCUGAGUGAUCUUGGUGGAAGAGAUAGAAGAAGAGAAUACAAAUCACAGCACCAUAUUUACCCCUGACAAUGGGAGCUGUUGCUGCUAGUCCUGAGACAAACAGAUAAGUCCAGUAAUUAUAGAUAAGUGCUUUUGUUUGAUCUGUAUAACAAUUUCUGCAUUUUCAGGUAAUUUCCCUUAGACGUUCAUAGGCAGGUGGGAAACUGUUCUUAUACAGUCUAUAUUUUAAUCUAUUUCCAAUUUACUUCUUUAUGAGCAGACAAACAACUUUCUUCCAUUUUUAGGACUAAGCCUUUUCCUGAGACUGUAUAUGAGCUGAA